CCAACUACCGCUGUGUUUUCUUACUAGAAUGUGUUUCUGGAGAUGGAGGCGAGCUGGUAGGGGAGCCGUGAAUCUGGAGGUGACCAUCACUCUACCAACAAGGAUUACCAGGACUCUGGCUGAGGAGAGCUGAUGGAGGAGCCAAGACUCUGGAGGACGACAUCACUCCACCAACUAGGAUCCUCACCAGGAAUCUGGAGGACUGAUGGAGAAGCCAUACAUCUGGAAGGCAAAUCCUGAGGACCACCAGGACUCUACCAUCAAGGAUUCCUCAUAAAUGUGCAUUAUCUGGACAUAGUGGACUAGACACACCUGAGCUGAACCUCACCUGAUCCUACACUUUGGGGUAGACACACCUGAGCUAAACCCGCCCUGAUCCUGACAUCCUGCUGGUCCCGUCUCCUCAGUUCAUCUGAGGCUGAUGGAUCAAUGACCUCCAGUGGGAGUGAUCUUCUUGACCCCACAUGUAACCGUGUGCUUCCACACGCCUUUCCCUCACGUCUGUCACUAACCUCACUACUUCACUACUCUCUACUGUUUCCUCUUUUCUUCCUUCUCUGUGGUUAAAAACUUUACACUGGAGGCGCGUCUUCCUGCCCUCAGAGGGUUUAGCGUUAGGGUUGAGAGUCAGGGUUUAGAGUCAGGGACAGAGCUGGUCAGGGAGGACUGCUUUUACACCAACCUCUUCACUUGCUUUUGGAAUGAUGGUGACAUUUUGAAAAGAUUCAUUUGGGAAAAAUGUUUUCCUCUGCUUUCCUUUACAAAUUGUAUUAAAACAUCUGUCAAGUGUUUUUGUUUAUAUAUUAAAAUCCCAAAUUGACUUCUA
ensembl:lncRNA